rnacentral:rRNA from 1 species
AUUGAACGCUGGCGGCAGGCUUAACACAUGCAAGUCGAGCGGAGAUGAGGUGCUUGCACCUUAUCUUAGCGGCGGACGGGUGAGUAAUGCUUAGGAAUCUGCCUAUUAGUGGGGGACAACAUUCCGAAAGGAAUGCUAAUACCGCAUACGUCCUACGGGAGAAAGCAGGGGAUCUUCGGACCUUGCGCUAAUAGAUGAGCCUAAGUCGGAUUAGCUAGUUGGUGGGGUAAAGGCCUACCAAGGCGACGAUCUGUAGCGGGUCUGAGAGGAUGAGCCGCCAAACUGGGACUGGGACACGGACAAGAAUCCUACGGGAGGCAGAAGUAGGGAAUAUUGGACAAUGGGGGGAACCCUGAUCCAGCCAUGCCGCGUGUGUGAAGAAGGCCUUAUGGUUGUAAAGCACUUUAAGCGAGGAGGAGGCUACUGAGACUAAUACUCUUGGAUAGUGGACGUUACUCGCAGAAUAAGCACCGGCUAACUCUGUGCCAGCCGCCGCCGUAA